rnacentral:misc_RNA from 1 species
AUCCUGCUCUUCCCACC